CUUUGCUGACGAGUGGCGGACGGGUGAGUAAUGUCUGGGAAACUGCCUGAUGGAGGGGGAUAACUACUGGAAACGGUAGCUAAUACCGCAUAACGUCGCAAGACCAAAGAGGGGGACCUUCGGGCCUCUUGCCAUCGGAUGUGCCCAGAUGGGAUUAGCUAGUAGGUGGGGUAACGGCUCACCUAGGCGACGAUCCCUAGCUGGUCUGAGAGGAUGACCAGCCACACUGGAACUGAGACACGGUCCAGACUCCUACGGGAGGCAGCAGUGGGGAAUAUUGCACAAUGGGCGCAAGCCUGAUGCAGCCAUGCCGCGUGUAUGAAGAAGGCCUUCGGGUUGUAAAGUACUUUC
rnacentral:rRNA from 1 species